rnacentral:lncRNA from 1 species
AUGCUACCCAGGAUGCUGCCUUUGAGGCUGGAUGGAAACCUCCAGAAGUCAGGACUGCACACAUCUCAGCACCUGAAUAAACCCAGUUUUGGAGAAGCGUGGAUCAGAGCCUGGGAAACAGGGAAGCAGCAAACCAACAAACGGAGAGCGAGGAGCGGAGAAGCUGCAGAUUCUGUGGGAGAUGCGUUCGGCCCGAGAGCUCCAGAAACGGAACGAGUUAACAGGCUUGGUCUGUGCAGCUCACUUUUGGGGUGGUUCCCCCCCCCCCCGCAGCCCACGGCAUCCAUAACUUCAGUCUUCUGCCAGCAUUUUGUGACCUAAACGUACAAGGCCCCUCACUAGAAGUCCACUUUAGCUCUGACGUGCAUUGGAGGUGAGAGAAGAGGAACAAUUCUGGGACUUGGGCAAAGUUGUUCCUUCCUGUAAAGCUCUGGCUUUAACCUCUGAGCCCUGAAGCAUCUCUCUGAACAAGGAUUACAGCCUGGGUAAGUGACUGUGAGUAAUCUUGUUUGGCUGGUGUUUUUCUGAAUUUAUCAACUUUUAACUUUUUGAUGACCUUCCUUCCUUCCCCUAUUCCUGAGUAAGUACAAACACUGUAAAUUAUAUGACUCUUGAAAGCAGGAGCUGGCAGUGUGUGUUAAAGCAACUGUCAGGAGUGUCAUUUCAACUCGAGAUGAUGACAACCUCUCAGUAUUCUUAAUAAUGCUCCUGAGUGCUUUUUUUUUUUUUUUUUUUUUAUAUAGAAAUAACAAUGGAGAAAAAAAAAAGGAAGAGAUAUGUAAUGAGAAUUGUGUAAUUUUGCUUUUACAAAAUGCUUUAGUUGAAGGCUUGGACUUUUUUGUAUUAUACGAAAUGAUCAAACAUUGUCGCUUGUGUUGAUGUAACAAGAAGGGAGCGCUGCCCUGGAAGAUUAGUGGAAAGACCCAACCCCACAGCUGGAAAGUCAAAAAAUAGCCCGGGGGCAUAUAAAGCAGGGUAUUAUGGUGGAGGCAUUAAUGUAGCCAUUAAGUUUGUGACCAUUGUUAUGCAACACAUUAUGUUCUGCUAGGCCACACCUGGUUAAAAGAUCAUCCCCUGCAGUCUCUCAUUCUCAGGUAGCAGAGGCAGAGGUGAUAUGCUGUGAACACCAGAUCACAGCAGCACCUGAAACGCAGGCUGGCUGAGCACGUGGCUGCCUAUUCCCAUCAGACGGACCUGCUGCACAUUAGGCCCAGGUGUAUCUUCAGAAAACCUUGCUUUGACCACAUUUAGCUAUUGUACAACAACCUAUAGUAAAGUCUCUAAAUUCAGCUACAUGGCCAAGAAAUGUUUUUUAGUCCUU